rnacentral:rRNA from 1 species
GCGAAAACUUUACAAUGCCGGCAACGGCGAUAAGGGGACCUCGAGUGCCAGGUUACAAAUCUGGCUGUCGUGAUGCCUAAAAAGCAUUGCAUAGCAAGGGCCGGGCAAGACCGGUGCCAGCCGCCGCGGUAACACCGGCGGCUCGAGUGGUAACCGUUAUUAUUGGGUCUAAAGGGUCUGUAGCCGGCCGGAUAAGUCUCUUGGGAAAUCCGGCAGCUUAACUGUCAGGCUUUCAGGAGAUACUGUCUGGCUCGAGGCCGGGAGAGGUGAGAGGUACUUCAAGGGUAGGGGUGAAAUCUUGUAAUCCUUGAAGGACCACCAGUGGCGAAGGCGUCUCACCAGAACGGACCUGACGGCAAGGGACGAAAGCUAGGGGCACGAACC